rnacentral:tRNA from 1 species
GCGUGGAUGGCUCAGUCGGUUAAGCGUCUGACUUAGGCUCAGGGCAUGAUCUCGCGGUUUGUGAGUUCGAUCCCCGCCUCAUGCU